CUUUAUAUUUCAAAACUCAUCUUUUAAUAGAUAUAAAACUGUUAUUAUGCUAUGUAAUUGCAUGUUCUCGUUCUGUAGAUAGGAAUGUUUAUUUGUAGGUUUAUUUUGUUAAACAAGCUGCUGUCUUUUGAAAAAGGAAUGCAAUACGAGGGCAGUAGGCACGUGUUUCUAACAGAAACUUAACAUUAGUGCCAGUGCCCGUAUGACUGUAUCAGAAAUCUGAAUCAAUGUUUGGUCGCCGGAGCAUGCCGAGUGUGUAAAACUCCAAAUUACGGCAAACGAGGAUUACAAGCUGCAGCUAGCAGAUUAAGGGCGCUUCUGGCAGAAGAGGGCUGACAUCCGUACUAGCGGAGAUCCGAAGAGACAAUCUUUAAACUAUAUUUUAAAGUGGCGGAAUAUUUGUUAAUCUUUAUACAUUUGUAUUUGUUUGAAAUGGCAUUUAGCAUAUUGACAACUUUUACAUUGUACGAAUCAUUUCCCAAUAUUUGUUACUGACAUUAAAAACGAAAAAAAUAUAUCACUAUUUUCAAAUAAAUGCAGCACUUACUCCUCCAUAAAUACAACUGAUUUAAAUGUUAUUGAAUAAAUGAACCAUUCCUAUUAAAAAAAACAAAACUUGUAAUAUUCAACUCUGUUUUAAAACGUCAUAAUGACAAAAAGUUAUGCAUUUGUUUUUGCUUACUUGUAAAGAAAAACGUCAUCAUGACCAAUCA